UACGGAGGGUGCAAGCGUUGUCCGGAUUUAUUGGGUUUAAAGGGUGCGUAGGCGGUUCUUUAAGUCUGGGGUGAAAGCCCGUUGCUCAACAACGGAACUGCCCUGGAAACUGGAGGACUUGAGUACAGACGAGGGUGGCGGAAUGGAUGCUGUAGCGGUGAAAUGCAUAGAUAGCAUCCAGAACCCCCGAUUGCGAAGCAGACGUGC
rnacentral:rRNA from 1 species